UGAUGCGUUAUUAGGAAGAUGAGUAGGUUCAAGUUCUUUUCUAAAGAGAGUCUGCGGUUGGUGGAAGCAGAUGAAAAGGCUGAAUUGAAUGGACUUCUCGAGGACCAGUUGCGAAACAUAAAGUAACAGCUGGCGGUAUAAGGCCGUUAUCCUUUUAAGUGCUUUUUGCUUACAGAGCGGAAGGUAGUAGGGUGGCACCGCGGAAAACCAUUCGUCCCUAGC
rnacentral:ncRNA from 1 species